UCUGCAGCUGUUCUUCCUCUGCUUCUCGUAGGACGACCGCGAGGAUCUCAGGGCCCAGAACCUCACGAUGCCUGUGAGCAAAGCAUGCACGUGUGUCCAUGCUACCCUGGGACUCAACUUCAGCGUCAGUGACAUUUUAUGGAACAAGAGCUAGCUGCUGAGGCCUGACACACAGAGGUGCUCUCUUGGGCAGACUUGCAAUCCAUGCUGUGCUCAAGGCUGAAAUGCCCUCACAGGGGAGACCUGGAUGUAGUGGUACUCACGAGCCGCUACCUUGUUCAUGUGGCACAGGGAUGGCGCGUGAGGGAUGCUAGUGCCAAGGUGGACACAUACAGAGUGCUGCACCUGCUACAGUCCCUCUACAAUCUCCUCCAGCAACGUUCUCCCUGAUGCUUGUAUCAAACGCUGUGGACCGGUGCUGUUCUGGACUCGGUGUCCACAUCUCCUGAUUUUCCGAUGGACUCACGGUUAACAGUAGACAUGGCUCUCCCGACUACAGAAGAGGGGGUGGGGAGGGGAGAGCAACACGGACAUUGGAGAGAGCAGAGCAACACACACUCAAGCUGCUCUAUCAAUUAUAUUUAUUAUUCUGUAAUAGGGACGAGGAGUGUUCAAGACCGGUAACUAAGUGGUUAAGAGGAAAACUGUAUUAAUCGCUGGCCUAGGAUCAGUCCCUAGGGUGGCCUGCAGAAGAGGAUGAGGGUGAAUACAUGGAGAGGAGGGUUCAGCAUC
ensembl:antisense Gm37229 predicted gene, 37229